rnacentral:rRNA from 1 species
AAAGAAAGCGUAAUAGCUCACUGGUCGAGUCGGCCUGCGCGGAAGAUGUAACGGGGCUAAACCAUGCACCGAAGCUGCGGCAGCGACACUGUGUGUUGUUGGGUAGGGGAGCGUUCUGUAAGCCUGUGAAGGUGUGUCGUGAGGCAUGCUGGAGGUAUCAGAAGUGCGAAUGCUGACAUAAGUAACGAUAAAGCGGGUGAAAAGUCCGCUCGCCGGAAGACCAAGGGUUCCUGUCCAACGUUAAUCGGGGCAGGGUGAGUCGACCCCUAAGGCGAGGCCGAAAGGCGUAGUCGAUGGGAAACGGGUUAAUAUUCCCGUACUUGGUGUUACUGCGAAGGGGGGACGGAGAAGGCUAUGUUGGCCGGGCGACGGUUGUCCCGGUUUAAGCGUGUAGGUGUGUGUUCCAGGUAAAUCCGGUUCACUUUAACACUGAGGCGUGACGACGAGGCACUACGGUGCUGAAGCAACAAAUGCCCUGCUUCCAGGAAAAGCCUCUAAGCAUCAGGUAACAUCAAAUCGUACCCCAAACCGACACAGGUGGUCAGGUAGAGAAUACCAAGGCGCUUGAGAGAACUCGGGUGAAGGAACUAGGCAAAAUGGUGCCGUAACUUCGGGAGAAGGCACGCUGACACGUAGGUGAAGUGAUUUACUCAUGGAGCUGAAGUCAGUCGAAGAUACCAGCUGGCUGCAACUGUUUAUUAAAAACACAGCACUGUGCAAACACGAAAGUGGACGUAUACGGUGUGACGCCUGCCCGGUGCCGGAAGGUUAAUUGAUGGGGUCAGCGCAAGCGAAGCUCCUGAUCGAAGCCCCGGUAAACGGCGGCCGUAACUAUAACGGUCCUAAGGUAGCGAAAUUCCUUGUCGGGUAAGUUCCGACCUGCACGAAUGGCGUAAUGAUGGCCAGGCUGUCUCCACCCGAGACUCAGUGAAAUUGAACUCGCUGUGAAGAUGCAGUGUACCCGCGGCAAGACGGAAAGACCCCGUGAACCUUUACUAUAGCUUGACACUGAACAUUGAGCCUUGAUGUGUAGGAUAGGUGGGAGGCUUUGAAGUGUGGACGCCAGUCUGCAUGGAGCCGACCUUGAAAUACCACCCUUUAAUGUUUGAUGUUCUAACGUGGACCCGUUACCCGGGUUGCGGACAGUGUCUGGUGGGUAGUUUGACUGGGGCGGUCUCCUCCUAAAGAGUAACGGAGGAGCACGAAGGUUGGCUAAUCCUGGUCGGACAUCAGGAGGUUAGUGCAAUGGCAUAAGCCAGCUUGACUGCGAGCGUGACGGCGCGAGCAGGUGCGAAAGCAGGUCAUAGUGAUCCGGUGGUUCUGAAUGGAAGGGCCAUCGCUCAACGGAUAAAAGGUACUCCGGGGAUAACAGGCUGAUACCGCCCAAGAGUUCAUAUCGACGGCGGUGUUUGGCACCUCGAUGUCGGCUCAUCACAUCCUGGGGCUGAAGUAGGUCCCAAGGGUAUGGCUGUUCGCCAUUUAAAGUGGUACGCGAGCUGGGUUUAGAACGUCGUGAGACAGUUCGGUCCCUAUCUGCCGUGGGCGCUGGAGAACUGAGGGGGGCUGCUCCUAGUACGAGAGGACCGGAGUGGACGCAUCACUGGUGUUCGGGUUGUCAUGCCAAUGGCACUGCCCGGUAGCUAAAUGCGGAAGAGAUAAGUGCUGAAAGCAUCUAAGCACGAAACUUGCCCCGAG